rnacentral:rRNA from 1 species
CAGCAGCCGCGGGAAUACGAAGGGGGCUAGCGUUGUUCGGAUUUACUGGGCGUAAAGCGCACGUAGGCGGAUGAUUAAGUCAGGGGUGAAAUCCCGAGGCUCAACCUCGGAACUGCCUUUGAUACUGGUCAUCUUGAGUCCGGGAGAGGUGAGUGGAACUGCGAGUGUAGAGGUGAAAUUCGUAGAUAUUCGCAAGAACACCAGUGGCGAAGGCGGCUCACUGGCCCGGUACUGACGCUGAGGUGCGAAAGCGUGGGGAGCAAACAGGAUUAGAUACCCCUGUAGUCCCUGUCUCUUAUCC